UUCUUGUCCCUUGUUGAAAGCAAGAAUGUUUCAAGGAGGCAAAGACUGUGAAAGCAGGUAUAAAGUUUAUUGUUGGAAGCACAGUACACCAUGUGGGAGAGCACACAGAGAAGCAGUCUAUCUAAGACAGAAGCUAAGAAGUAAUACACACUCUAAAGAGGAGCGUGGGUGCAGGCAUCCUCCUCAGUGAGGAGCCACCAGAGAGGUGAUUUACGGCACUUAUUUAGCACAGUUCUUCCUGGUCUUUGUUUUCCUUUGGCCAAUUGUCUUGUUGUAUUUCUCACACCUGAAUGGCACAGGACCCUCCCCAAUACGCAUGCGCAUCUUUUGGCAAAGAUGGAUUCCAGAGCAAAGGAUGCUGGGAUGGUAUCAGGACUUAUUAGGGCCUGGCACCCCCUCCCUUUCUGACCCCUAGGAGUCUUACUGCGCAUGUGUAACUAGGGAGCUCUCCUUGACCCCAGGCGUGAUUGAAGUGGUCAUCUUUCUACUCCCGCAGAGCUCAGCGCCUGCCAUUAACUUUUCCCUUGACAUAUCAAAGAGAAACAAGGCCCAAUUUACUCAGCUUAACAAGUCCCAGCUGUUCUCAGCCCAGGGGCCCAUCUACCUCCUACUUCAGGUCUACCCUCCCUCCUCAACGCUGCUGGCUCCUCAAGGUCAGGAACCUCAAGGUCAGUCCCUCUGGUGUCUUCUCAGCAAAGAGCACAGCAGCAGGGUCCCCGGCCAUGCUGUGUGAAGCCCGGCGAGAUGGGUAGGGAGGCGAAUGAGUGUGUCUUCUGGAUGCAGACAAGGCUGCUGUGAUGAAACUUGGGGCAAAUUCCUUAGCCUCUUUGAGCCUCAUGCUCCUCACCUGUAAACUGAGGAUGGAAGUAGCCCCACCCUGAAGGACAGAAAGUGCGGACAAAAAGUGGUCUCUUUUCUCCUUUGACUUGACACUGUGAGGAUCGCUGUCUCAAGCCUUCCAGUUUGUUCCUUGAUCUGACUUUUUGUUCCUGGUUCAUCUUGUGGUGCAAGCAAAUGACAACUGAUAGGACAUGAAUGAUAUGACGUAAGCAGUUGUUAUUGUUGGAAAGAGCCCUGGUUUUGGAAUCGUGGGCUCAAGGACUGCUUCUUCCCCAAGUGGCUGUGUGGACUUGGAGUGUAGAAGCAAGACCCUCAGGAGCAAUGAGACCGCUUGACGUCUAGUUUUGAUUUCUAAGACCACCGCCCACCAAAAGGAACGAAACCUUUCUGGAGAAAUGGCUGAUUCCAGGUCUGGGGAAAGCAAAGUACAUGAAUUGCCCCGGGUUAUUAAACUAGAAGACCUUCAGAAGUCCUGGCCACUAAAAGUUCUUCCCCUCCACUGGCUUCUGGGGCAGCUGUCACCCUUUAAAAGCCACUUUUAACUUCUACCCCAGGAAGCAAUUUCUCAGCUAUUAGGGGCUUGGUGGCUUGGCAGUGAGAAGAGCUGGCCUGGCUACUUAGGAACUGGUGCUCUCACGGUGCUUUCUUGCCGUUCGCGGCCCUUAUCACAGCUGUGAUUCUGCAAUGAUGUCUGUGAUCGUGGAUCUCUGCCCGAGUCCUCUGCUAGCGUGCGAACUUCACGAGGCCUGGCACGCAAGGAAGGGCGGCAGCUCCAUAAGCAGCUCAAAACACGGCCCCUGCUCUCAAGCGUCCCUCAGCCGCACUCCGCGCCACCUCUGAGUCUUGGCAAUUUUAUAAUUGGCCCGAUGGGUUACGAUUUGAAAGCAGAAGCGCCAAUUAGCAGGAGGCUCCUUUGACCUCCGUUUGGGGUGGUAGGCGACGAGGUAAUGACUUAAGACAGAGGGAAGAAAAAAAAAAAAAAACCCUAAAAAUAAAAAUAGAAAAUAUCAAGAGCAAAGACUUAAAUCUUUUUGGCUCUCUGAUUAAUAACCCUGUCAUGCCGAUCACAAGCUCUAAACAGCAAUGCUGGUUGCAGCUGAAUUUUUUAUACUUUCUAUUAAUCUUUAAUGAUAGCUUGGUCACCUAGUCUCUUUUAUCUUGUCAGAUAAAUGUAUGGUUAACAGGAUAAUGAGAUUUCUGAAGCCCCAUUCCAGCUCCCAGCUAUCUAGUGCAUGUGGUGACCUCUGACCCCCGGCAGACAGCGGCACCAGGGUGCUCGUAAUUGGUAGGUGUGCUGGGAAUGUAUUGGAAGCUGACGGAUGGUUUAAACUUUGAUUUGAGGUCGGCGAGGUCACAGAGCUCUGGAAGACCAGCCCGGUUUUAUUACCAACUGCCUCUGAUGGGGAUAUAAUUAGAUUUAGCUAUUGCUUUAUUAAUAAGUAAUCGCUUCCCCCAUCGCUGUGGGUGGGCAAAUGUAUUCCUUGGAUAAUCUGAGGACACUAGUCUGGCUUUAUUAAUAAGAAUAUAUCAUGCGUAUUUGACCAGGCGCAGACACCCAUCUGGUUGGCUGGACUCUGGGGGAACUCUAUCAUUUUUAGUCAUUUGCAGUAUUGAAUAAAUCGGCUGUGCCUUGUGAAAUCUAUCCUCACCUCAGUGACCUCGAACUCUCUGUUGUUGUAGGGAAUUUCUGUUUUGGCCUGUUUCUCAAUGACUUAAGAAUAAAAAAUAUGUAAAUAAUUGUAUUCAGUUGUCCGUCCGUCCAUCCAUCCAUUCAUCCACCCAUCCCCUCAUCUAUUCAUUCACAUGAGUACUUGCUCAACGUGAGUUCCAGCCCUAGGUGAGGCGGAAAGGGUUCACAAUGAGUUAAAAACUUAAUCCCCAUCUUAAGAGAUUUACAAGCAUGCAAACAACUAAAUUUCAAAGAAGGGCAAGAUAAAAGCCAUAAGAAGAUAUUAACAAAAUGCGAGACAGUGUGUGGAAAGUGUUGAGGGUCGGGCCUGACACACUACAGAUGUUCAUACUUUUUGGUAACAGUUAUUAACAUUACUUGCUUUUGUAGAGAAAGGCUGGGGCAUAGGAAGGAGGCAGAUGUGAAGGAAGAACUGAGGAGUUUCUGUAAAUAUUUAAAAAUUUUGAGAAUUUCUUCCAUGCCUUUGUAUAACAGAAAAUAGAAAGGAAUGGGGAAGCAAGGGAGAAAAACAAAAUAUAAGAGAAAGAGAAUUCAAGAAAGAUUGAUCACUCCUUAGUUCUAGACUCUAGUUAAUUCAACAACUGUUUUUGGAAUGUCUCCGGUGUGAAAGCCCUGUCACAUAGCCUGGCUAGGACAGGUUUCCUCUUUGCCCAAAGAUG